CGGACGGGUGAGUAAUGUCUGGGAAACUGCCUGAUGGAGGGGGAUAACUACUGGAAACGGUAGCUAAUACCGCAUAACGUCGCAAGACCAAAGAGGGGGACCUUCGGGCCUCUUGCCAUCGGAUGUGCCCAGAUGGGAUUAGUUAGUAGGUGGGGUAACGGCUCACCUAGGCGACGAUCCCUAGCUGGUCUGAGAGGAUGACCAGCCACACUGGAACUGAGACACGGUCCAG
rnacentral:rRNA from 1 species